CCUACGGGUGGCUGCAGUGGGGAAUAUUGGACAAUGGGGGGAACCCUGAUCCAGCCAUGCCGCGUGUGUGAAGAAGGCCCCCGGGUUGUAAAGCACUUUCAGUGAGGAAGAACGCCUGGUGGUUAAUACCCAUCAGGAAAGACAUCACUCACAGAAGAAGCACCGGCUAACUCCGUGCCAGCAGCCGCGGUAAUACGGAGGGUGCGAGCGUUAAUCGGAAUUACUGGGCGUAAAGCGCGCGUAGGUGGCUUGAUAAGCCGGUUGUGAAAGCCCCGGGCUCAACCUGGGAACGGCAUCCGGAACUGUCAAGCUAGAGUGCGGGAGAGGAAGGUAGAAUUCCCGGUGUAGCGGUGAAAUGCGUAGAGAUCGGGAGGAAGAUCAGUGGCGAAGGCGGCCUUCUGGUCUGACACUGACACUGAGGUGCGAAAGCGUGGGUAGCAAACAGGAUUAGAUACCCCUGUAGUC
rnacentral:rRNA from 1 species